UGAGCGCCGCCGAGCUGCAGGAUGAGCUCUGCAGGCACCUGGCCCGAGACUGCCCCGCACUGCUGGAGAGCCUCUGCCACAUGGCCCAGAGCUGCUGCACGGGGAGCUGCCAGGCGCCGCAGGAGGCAGCCGUCCGCAUCCUGGGCCUCCUGAUGAAUGCGGCGCCAGCCGAGAGGCCGCAGCGGCAGGACCCGGCGUCGCGGUGGGGAGGUAGG